AGGUGACCUUGGCUCUGGGCUGAAUAAGUGAGUUCUCUGCUGCACUUCAGGAAGGCGUUGGGUCAUUCUGCUAAUUCAGUAAGGUUACAGUCCAUCACCAAGGGAAGUCAAGGCCGGAACUCAAAGCAGGAACCCGGAGCAGAAAAGAUGGAGGAACGCUGCUUACUGGUUUGCUCUAAGGCUGUUCUAACAAGACCCACCUGCCAUGAAAGCUCAGCGGGCGUGGAAGCCAGAGUCGGGGAGACUG